UACGUAGGGUGCAAGCGUUGUCCGGAUUUAUUGGGCGUAAAGAGCUCGUAGGCGGUCUGUCGCGUCGGAUGUGAAAACCCAGGGCUCAACCCUGGGCCUGCAUUCGAUACGGGCAGACUAGAGUAUGGCAGGGGAGACUGGAAUUCCUGGUGUAGCGGUGAAAUGCGUAGAGAUCCGGAGGAACACCAAAGGCGAAGGCAGUGUCCUGGGGAGUACCUGACGCUCAGGUGCGAAAGCCAGGGGAGCGAACGGG
rnacentral:rRNA from 1 species